rnacentral:rRNA from 1 species
UAGGGAAUCUUCCACAAUGGACGAAAGUCUGAUGGAGCAACGCCGCGUGAGUGAAGAAGGGUUUCGGCUCGUAAAGCUCUGUUGGUAGUGAAGAAAGAUA